UGAGAUGGAAUGUCUACCCAGACUGGUAACCAGUCACUACCAUCCCUGGGCAGAGCCUGGGCAGCCGUCUUUGUUGCAGUCCUAACCUCAGGACAUCUUUGGAGAUGGGGUCUGUCUUUAAGGCAGUAAUUAAAUUAAGCUGGAUCAUUAGAAUGGGUCCUUACUCAAUAUGACUGAUGUCCUGCUAAGAAGAGACUACGACACAGGUGCAUGCAAAGGGAACACCUUGUGAAGACACAGCGAGAAGGUGGUCACUUACAAGCCGAAGAGGAAGGUCUUAGAAGAAACCAACCCAGCAGACACCUUGACCUUAGACCUCUUUUUUGUGAGAAAAUAAAUUUCUGUUGCUUAA
rnacentral:lncRNA from 10 species